GGCGUGGUGGUCUAGUGGUAUGAUUCUCGCUUAGGGUAGCACCCUAUGCCUAAAAGCAAGCUUGCGAGAGGUCCCGGGUUCAAUCCCCGGCCAGGCCC